ACAAGCGGUGGAGUAUGCGGUUUAAUUCGAUGCAACGCGAAGAACCUUACCUGGUCUUGACAUCCCGGAGACCCUUAGGAAACUAGGGGGUGCUUCCAUCUGGAAGAAUCUGGAGACAGGUGCUGCAUGGCUGUCGUCAGCUCGUGUCGUGAGAUGUUGGGUUAAGUCCCGCAACGAGCGCAACCCUUGCCUUUAGUUGCCAGCAGUUCGGCUGGGCACUCUAAAGGGACUGCCGGUGUUAAACCGGAGGAAGGUGGGGAUGACGUCAAGUCCUCAUGGCCUUUAUGACCAGGGCUACACACGUACUACAAUGGCCGAUACAAAGGGCAGCGACACUGCGAGGUGAAGCCAAUCCCGUAAAAUCGGUCUCAGUCCGGAUUGGAGUCUGCAACUCGACUCCAUGAAGUUGGAAUCGCUAGUAAUCGUGGAUCAGCAUGCCACGGUGAAUACGUUCCCGGGCCUU
rnacentral:rRNA from 1 species